rnacentral:tRNA from 1 species
AGGUGGGUGGCUCAGUGGUUAGAGUCUAGGGCUUGGGAGCGAGAGGCCCGGGUUCGAUUCUCGCGAGAGGUAG